rnacentral:rRNA from 1 species
UACGUAGGGACCGAGCGUUGUCCGGAAUCAUUGGGCGUAAAGAGCGCGUAGGCGGCCACUUAAGUCCUGCGUGAAAUCUUGCGGCUCAACCGCAAGCGGUCGUGGGAAACUGGGUGGCUAGAGUGCGGGAGAGGAGAGUGGAAUUCCUGGUGUAGCGGUGGAAUGCGCAGAUAUCAGGAAGAACACCCGUGGCGAAGGCGGCUCUCUGGAACGCAACUGACGCUGAGGCGCGAAAGCGUGGGGAGCAAACAGG